GGGGCUGAUUCUGGAUUCGACGGGAUUUGCGAAACCCAAGGUGCAUGCCGAGGGGCGGUUGGCCUCGUAAAAAGCCGCAAAAAAUAGUCGCAAACGACGAAAACUACGCUUUAGCAGCUUAAUAACCUGCUCUGAGCCCUCUCUCCCUAGCUUCCGCUCUUAAGACGGGGAUCAAAGAGAGGUCAAACCCAAAAGAGAUCGCGUGGAUGCCCUGCCUGGGGUUGAAGCGUUAAAUCUAAUCAGGCUAGUUUGUUAGUGGCGUGUCUGUCCGCAGCUGGCAAGCGAAUGUAAAGACUGACUAAGCA
rnacentral:tmRNA from 1 species